GAUGAACGCUGGCGGCGUGCCUAAUACAUGCAAGUCGAGCGAAUGGAUUAAGAGCUUGCUCUUAUGAAGUUAGCGGCGGACGGGUGAGUAACACGUGGGUAACCUGCCCAUAAGACUGGGAUAACUCCGGGAAACCGGGGCUAAUACCGGAUAACAUUUUGAACCGCAUGGUUCGAAAUUGAAAGGCGGCUUCGGCUGUCACUUAUGGAUGGACCCGCGUCGCAUUAGCUAGUUGGUGAGGUAACGGCUCACCAAGGCAACGAUGCGUAGCCGACCUGGGGGGGUGAUCGGCCACACUGGGACGGAAACACGGCCCAGACUCCUACGGGAGGCAGAAGUAGGGAAUCUUCCGCAAUGGACGAAAGUCUGACGGAGCAACGCCGCGUGAGUGAUGAAGGCUUUCGGGUCGUAAAACUCUGUUGUUAGGGAAGAACAAGUGCUAGUUGAAUAAGCUGGCACCUUGACGGUACCUAACCAGAAAGCCACGGCUAACUACGUGCCAGCCGCCGCGGUAA
rnacentral:rRNA from 1 species